GUUUAUCUCUCCUGUCCGGUUUGAUUUUAGCGAUGUUUGAUUUUUUCAGAGAUGAUUGUGUGAAAAGGGUAAACAACUAUAUCUAAUUCUCGAUCCAUAAAAUGAACCCUAACACUUUUACUUUAUUUUGCAAGUACCAUUUUUGAUUGCUAUUUAUAAACAAAAAAAAAAAACAAUAGGUUAGUCUUGCUUAGUGUUCUGAUACGUACUGCAUCGGAAUCGGAUACAUAGAUGCAUCAACAAAGAAAACCAAAUUUUGUUUUCCUGCAACAAUUGGCUUACUGCAAUGUUAGUCAUGGAACCUUAAUGCUCAUAAAAAUAUGAAACAGAUCUUCUGCACAAAUUCAACUAAAGGAAAUCCAUUUUCAAUUUAACCAAAGCCUACUCCCGUUCCUCCUUGGUCAAUAAUUCUAAAACAUCAGCCACUAUGCACCCACCACUGUAAGUAUUUUCACAUGAGUAGUAAAACAGAAUGGUUUUCAAUGGUUCAAAUGAGAAAUGUAUUUGAGAUGAACAAGUGUUCAAAGAAUGGGAUCCAGAAUAUAUGAUUUUUAGGUUAGCUAUGGGAUUAAGUAAAAAAAAAUUUGCUACCAAAUACAAUAUUUAUAGAACUUUGAAUGGCAAUAUUAGCCAAUAGUACUUGUUGCAGCAAUAGUGGGCAUGUCAAUAUGGAGUAUUGGUGCAAUAGCAUCGAUAGCUUCUCUAUUGUUUUUUAUUUAUUUUUUUGCUGCAGGGAUGAUCAGCAAUUUCAGUUUCCAUAUAGGCUGAUACUGACAAAGGCUUUAAGAAAAAAGGUUAUCAUGGGUCAUCACCACCUGCAAGCAUUCAUCGGCGGAACCUUGGUGGAAAUUAAACUAGAUAAAUUGAACAAGCAGCAGGGUUGAUAUCUAUUAAGAAUGAUGUAAACCGGCCGCCAAUUGAGAUUCAGGGGUUGUACUUCUUAGUAUAUAAACCCAUAACUGAUGCAAAUGAGUGAGAAAGUGAUGAUCCAAAAUUAUGAAUUGUGACCAACCCGGGGUACUAUGCAUGCCAUCUAUAAAUUUUAAUGUACAAUGUAAUUAUCACUUGGGAUUCUGAAAUACCCAUUGGAUGAACAUGGCUGAAUGCACUGCGGCUUACUGGGCACGAGGGAUGACCUGAUACGGGUGUAAAAUUCACAAGUACUUAUUGCACGUG